rnacentral:rRNA from 1 species
UACAGAGGGGGCAAGCGUUGUUCGGAAUUACUGGGCGUAAAGGGCGCGUAGGCGGCCUGUUAAGUCGAACGUGAAAUCCCCCGGGCUCAACCCGGGCGAACUGCGUCCGAUACUGGCAGGCUUGAAUUCGGGAGAGGGAUGUGGAAUUCCAGGUGUAGCGGUGAAAAUGCGUAGAUAUCUGGAGGAACACCGGUGGCGAAGGCGGCAUCCUGGACCGAUAUUGACGCUGAUGCGCGAAAGCCAGGGGAGCAAACGGG